AGAGUUUGAUCCUGGCUCAGAAUCAACGCUGGCGGCGUGCCUCAGACAUGCAAGUCGAACGAUUAAACUUUCCUUCGGGGAAGAUAUAAAGUGGCGCACGGGUGAGUAACACGUAGGUAAUCUACCUUUGAGUGGGGAAUAACAAUCGGAAACGAUUGCUAAUACCGCAUAAUGCAGCGGCACCGCAAGGUGACAGUUGUUAAAGGAGCAAUCCGCUUAAAGAGGAGCCUGCGGCAGAUUAGCUAGUUGGUAAGGUAAUGGCUUACCAAGGCGACGAUCUGUAACCGACCUGAGAGGGUGGUCGGUCACACUGACACUGAAUAACGGGUCAGACUCCUACGGGAGGCAGCAGUCGGGAAUUUUGGGCAAUGGGCGAAAGCCUGACCCAGCAACGCCGCGUGAAGGAUGAAGUAUUUCGGUAUGUAAACUUCGAAAGAAUGGGAAGAAUCAAUGACGGUACCAUUUAUAAGGUCCGGCUAACUACGUGCCAGCAGCCGCGGUAAUACGUAGGGACCAAGCGUUGUUCGGAUUUACUGGGCGUAAAGGGCGCGUAGGCGGCGUGUUAAGUCAGCUGUGAAAUCUCCGAGCUUAACUCGGAACGGUCAGCUGAUACUGAUGUGCUAGAGUGCAGAAGGGGCAAUCGGAAUUCUUGGUGUAGCGGUGAAAUGCGUAGAUAUCAAGAGGAACACCUGAGGUGAAGACGGGUUGCUGGGCUGACACUGACGCUGAGGCGCGAAAGCUAGGGUAGCAAACGGGAUUAGAUACCCUGGUAGUCC
rnacentral:rRNA from 1 species